AUGCCUCGCUGGCACCUCUCCCUCACCCGCAUCACCGGCGCCUCUCCCUCUCGGGCCGUUGUUGCCUCUCCGUUGGCCCAGUCGUUGUCGCCCCUGAUGUGCCGUGGCACCGUGACCCGGCCUCACAGGCACGACCAGGGUGACAACAGCUCCCCGACGCCGCCGCCCUCCGCAAGGAGCAACGACAACUCGAAGCUCUGCGGCACGGCAUGCUCUGAGCGAUGCGCCGCGGGGGCACCGCCGCCUCAGCCACCGGCGUGGCCGACCACCCGUCCACGUCCCCAUCGCUGCCGCCGGCCGGCCACACGACCUCACGCUCGUCCAGCUCGAAGCACGCGCCAUCGUGGCCCGCCUCCGGCUGCUUCAGCAGGCCAAGAAACCGAAACGCCCCCCGCGCCCGGCGACCUCGGCAUCUCCAUCGACCGUCUCAGCAAGCGCUACCUCGCCCGGCUCCCGCAUUGCUGA
rnacentral:rRNA from 1 species